UUAUGGCUCAGGAUGAACGCUAGCUACAGGCUUAACACAUGCAAGUCGAGGGGUAGCAGGGUAGCAAUACCGCUGACGACCGGCGCACGGGUGAGUAACACGUAUCCAACCUUCCCAUAACUCAGGGAUAGCCUUUCGAAAGAAAGAUUAAUACCUGAUAGUACUUUUUCAAGGCAUCUUGAGAAAGUUAAAGAUUUAUUGGUUAUGGGUGGGGAUGCGUUCCAUUAGAUAGUUGGUGAGGUAACGGCUCACCAAGUCUUCGAUGGAUAGGGGUUCUGAGAGGAAGGUCCCCCACAUUGGUACUGAGACACGGACCAAACUCCUACGGGAGGCAGCAGUGAGGAAUAUUGGUCAAUGGGCGAGAGCCUGAACCAGCCAAGUAGCGUGAAGGAAUGAAGGUCCCAUGGAUUGUAAACUUCUUUUAUAGUAGAAUAAAGUGAUCCACGUGUGGAUUUUUGUAUGUAUACUAUGAAUAAGGAUCGGCUAACUCCGUGCCAGCCGCGGC
rnacentral:rRNA from 1 species